UGGUCUUCCGAUCUGUCAUCCAGCCGCACCUUCCAGUACGGCUACCUUGUUACGACUUCACUCAAGUCGCAAGCCUAGCCUUAGGCAUCCCCCUCCUUACGGUUAAGGGUAAUGACUUCAAACAUGGCCA